rnacentral:lncRNA from 1 species
UUUUCUGGCUACUCGAGAGGUAUGAUUUAUUUUAAUGAAUAUAUAACUACAUUUGUGUUUAAUUAUUUAAAAAAAAUGAAAAAAUUAUUUUGAUAUUUUAUUAAAAUUACAUAUUCAGGUUAUUUCAACGUUAUAUCCUACGGAGGAAGAAUUGGAGACAUCUUGGUAUAUAAAUCUUUCACUGCCAGCUGAUAAUGAACAUCGUGUAUUAGAUGGCAUCGUCGGUGGAGAAUUAGACAAUGUGGCACAACAAAUCCCAGAUGAUACUUUUGAGCAAGAACGGGAUAAUAUAUAUGUGCCAGAGA